rnacentral:lncRNA from 1 species
GAGAAAUACACUUGAUCUCUCUCUCUCUCUCUCUUUUUUUUUUUUUUUGGUUUUUUGAGACAGGGUUUCUCUGUAUAGCCCUGGCUGUCCUGGAACUCACUCUGUAGACCAGACUGGCCUCGAACUCAGAAAUCCGCCUGCCUCUGCCUCCCGAGUGCUGGGAUUAAAGGCAUGUACCACCAUGCCCGGCUUUAGAAACUUCUAACAAGGAUGUUCACAUUGCCUGGAAAAUGGGAGGAAGAAUAUCAUGAUACUAUUGGCAGUGCUCACCCAAGGGUGUAAUUCUCUCUUCAGUGAGCACGGUUGGGAGAGUGUCACCCUCUUUCAUCAAUGCCCUUUCCUUGAUGGGCCAUUUAUCUCUACGUUUAAGUUGUUUGUUUAAGCCAUCUCUUACCACACUGCACAAGCAAAGACCUGGACGGUCAAUAUAAAGUUAUCUGGUACAUGAAAAGUGAGAAAAAUGUCCCAUACUCUUUCCGGGCUCAUCUUGCAAAGUAAUAAGCCAAAGCAAGCUGUGUCUCCUCAGGCCUGGGUGAUGGUCAAAGGGCUGUUUACCCAUCUUGUUAACCAGUCAAAGCAAAUUCUCACUAAGUAUAUAGAAGAAUGCAUGCUUACCAUCUCCCCUAGGAAGAUACAGAGAAGUGGUAAGUAACUGUGCCAGUGGGUUUGUAAACUCAAUACAAACCUAGACUUAACUGGGAAGAGGCCUCCACUUGUGACUUGUAGGCAAGCCUGUGGGUAUUGUUUUUUAAAUUGUGUGUGAGUGGUGUGUGUGAGUGUGUAUGUAUAUCCAUGUAUGUACAGGUGCCCACAGAGGUGAGAAGAGGGUCUCAGAUCCCCUGGAGCCAGAGUUAUUGGCUGUUGUGAGUGCUAGGAAUUGAAUUUGUGUCCUCUAGAAAUGCUCUGCUGAGCCAUCUCUCCAACCCUCAAAUACCUUUUAAAGUAACAGUAGAGCAAAUAUUACAAACAUAACCUUGUGGUGUUUUUUUUUUACACUUUUUCAUUCAAGUGGCUUCGGAGUAAGAGAACCAGGCUCUUAUCAUUUCAACGGUGUUGAAAAUUUUUAAGUUGUGAUUAAAAUGCCAAAUCUCAAAUAAAGCCCAUCAAUUAAGUAAAAGAGUAAACUUGUUUCAAGUUAAAAGCAGGGAAGAGCAGCGUCCUGGGUGGGCAGCAAGCCGUCUUUGCGGUUGUGAUGGGACUCUGGCCUCCUGACUCAGAGCUGUUGACAUAGGAACGGUACUUAACUGGGGAACUGACCGGCUCAGCAGUGCCGGAAUCACUUCUGUGACAUCAUCUGUGUCCCGCUGCCAGUAAAUGUUCUGAAAAUACUGUUCUGGAAAGGCUAUGUCUCAAUGAGAACAGUCAGUCUGCCAAAAUAAUUCUCACCACCUCCUGACUCCAAACAAGCUGGCCAUACAAACCAGAGUCAUGAAUGGCUGACUCUGCAAGGAGCCAGUCCUGAGAGUUCCUGACCAGGUGCCUCUGUGCCUGGGCAAACCCAAUGCUUUGAGACUUUGGGGGCGGGGGGUAAUACUGAAUGGCAACAAUGGGGAGAACGUGGGUAGGAAGCACACGGAAGGGGCCAGGGUUCCACAGUCCACUUUGAAGGUAAAAUGGAAGGUAAACCCCUGCCAGUGGUCCACGGACCUCUCACUGGACCACCUCCGGAGGGCAUCACACUCCUUCCUCUUCUCCAUCCACCUCCCCAUUUCCUCCUGCUUUACCUCCUCCCUUCUCUCUACUCUUAUUCCUCUCCCUCCCCCUCUUCUUGCUCCUUUCCCUCCCCGGCUUUUCUUCUUUCUCCUCCUCUUUUUCAAUCUCCCUUCUCCUUUGGAAGAAAACCAGAAGGCCAGAACACCACUUCCAUAAAGUUUUUGUUUGAAGCCUGGCAUGGUAUGCACUCCAGUAAUCCCAGCACUUGGGAGGCCGAGGCAAGAGGAUCCAGAAUACAAAUCCAGCCUGCUGGAUUCCCUGAUAUGCUCUCUCUCUCUCUCUCCCUCUCCUUCUCUCUCUCCCUCUCCCUCUCCCUCUCUCUCUCUCUCUCUCACACACACACACACACACACACACACACACACACACACACAAAGAUGUUUCAUAUGGAAGAUGAUGAUGAUAUUAGUACCCCAAAUCACAGGAUAAAGGCAAAAUUUUACCAAAUUUUACACUCCUAGUCCAGCAUUUGGAAGGCAGAGGCAGGCAGAGCUCUAAGUUCAAGGCCAGCCUGGUCUACAGAGUGAGUUCCAGGGCAGCCAGGGAUACCCAGAGAAACCCUGUCUUUGGAAACAAAGCAAAGCAAAACAAAAUUUGCACAGUAAAAAGACAGACUUUACUUCCAUAAUAUAAGGGAAUUCUCAUUACCUUACAGAAGAUCAAAAACUAGUUUGAAACUAUUCCUAGGACACCUCAGGCAGUCCUUUAAAUCCUAUAUUCUGGUUCAUUGAACCAUUACUUUUGCUUUAAAUGUUUCUUCAAAAUCCUAGCAUCAGUACAUUUUUCAUAUUCUGAAUUCUUUGUUUAAAAAAACAUCACCAUCUAUUCCUUGGAGGUUUCAUAGGAAAAAGAGCAUAUCCUAUGUAUUUUGGCAAGCUUUAUGCUGAUGUGGGCCCUCCUUGUUACAUUUUAGCCAAAGUCAGUUCAGAGUUUGGCUAAGGAAAAAGGGAUUCAAUGGUCUGUAAGCAAAUUUAUAGCUGAAAUAAUUUUUUGAAGGGGGGCUACUUCAGUUGAAAAGAAUUGUGUUCCUGAUUUUUCUCCUCUUUUCUUCUAAGCCGUUGUUGAAUCAUUGUCAACAGUAGGGCUAACAGAGGGCUGAUGUACUCUCCUCAGAAGGCAUGAGGCUUUCCACAUUUACCCAUACUACUAUUACCCACCCCCAGUAAGGGCAAUAUAAAUGCCUCUCCACUCUUGGUGAAUAUACUGUAGACACCAUCAUUUAGUAGCUAUGGGCAGUUUCUGCCCUGAGGUCCCAGUGUCAUGCCUCAGAAGUCUACUUUGUUAUUCUUCCCCAAACUAACCUUCCUUCCUUCCUUCCUUCCUUCCUUCCUUCCUUCCUUCCUUCCUUCCUUCCUUCCUUUCAUUUUUUCCAGACUGGGUUUCUCUGUGUAGUCCUGGCUGUCCUGGAACUCACUCUGUAGACCAGGUUAGGCUCUAACUCAGAAAUCUGCCUGCCUCUGCCUCUGCCUCCCAAGUGCUGGGAUUAAAGGAGUGUGCCACCACUGCCCGGCGUGGGUUUGGUAGGCAUCUGAAGCUCUAACCAGUCCCUUGGCUAUCUUGAUUACAUUUUUCUCCUCCAGCACACACUCACAUGCUCCAAUACUCCCUUUGAGUACAUUGACACAGAGCUGUUGGUGCCAGGUGAGGGCAGUUCCGGAAGAUUCUCUGCGUGUGAAGUAAUCCCUAGAGCUUCAUGGCCAUGUGGUUCUGAGAAGGCAAUGAGUAGAUUGCAAACCUUCCCUGCUUUAAGGUUUAUUUAUUCACAGAACGGUGACGAUUGGCUGACUGGAGUGAAGUUAUCACUGUGGUCUGGAAGGUUCUUCCCAUUAUCAUAGUGAGGGUGUGUGCCCACCCAGAACCUAUCUGUCUGUGAUUGACUACAUCUGAGGGCAACAAGGGCGAAAUUAAUAUCCUUUACCUGUUCCUCCACCUCUGUCACCCAAAGGUGACAAUUGUUCUUUUCUGUCUUGCCACAUUUUAGAAAAAAUAUUUUGUUUCUUUUUAAUGUGCUUAUAUGUGACAGGUACUUGAACACAUACAUGUAGGACCUAUGGAGGCCAGAAGAGGGAUCCCCUGGAGCUAAAAUUAACAGCAGUUGCAAGGUACCUAACAUAGGUGUUGGGGACUAAAUGUUGGGUCAUUUGUAGGGGCAGUAUUUUCUCAUAACAUGUGAGCCAUUUCUACAGCCCCCACAUCAUUAUUAAUUCAUUUUUCUGUUUUUUUUGAAAUGUUUGUGUGUGUGUGUGUGUGUGUGUGUGUGUGUGUAGCUGUCCUAGAUGUCCUGGAACUCACUCUGUAGACCAGACUAGCCUUUGAACUCAGAGAUCUGUCUGCUUCUGCUUCCUGAGUGCUGGGAUUAAAGGCAUGCCAGGCCCCAUAUAUUCUCUCUCUCUCUUUUUUUAAGAUUUAUUCAUUUUAUUUGUAUGAGUACACUGUAGCUGUCUUUAGACACACCAGAAGAGGGCCAUGUGGUUGCUGGGAUUUGAACUCAGGACCUCUGGAAGAGGAGUCAAUGCUCUUAAGCACUGAGCCAUCUCUCCAGCCCCAGAUAGUCUUAAUAUGUAACCAUGAUGAUACUUUGUUUGUUAACUAUCCACAAUGAUGUAAAUUUGGCAUUCUGCCAGCCUGUCUUUCGGCAGCAGCUUACUUUGUCUGUCUCCCCCUUUCCCAUGUCCCCACUCAGAGAUGGCCUUUUGUCCUCCCUUGUCCCUCAAUAAACCUCUUGUGAUAGAUCUGAUGCACAGUGUGAUAUCUUAGUGACACUCCUUGGCCCCAUACCUACCCUUCCCAUGGCUUUAUCUCUUACACGCGUUCUCGCGACCGGCCAGGAAGAACGCAGCAAACCGGAAUCUUCUGCGGCAAAAGCUUUAUUGCUUACAUCUUUAGGAGCCAGAGAGCAAGAGAGCAAGAGAGAGCAAGAAAGCAAGAAAAAGAACAAGAACAAGAAAGCAAGAGAGAGAAUGGCAAAACCCCGUCCCUUUUAAGGAGAAUUAUCCUCCGCCUAGGACGUAUUACUCUCUGAUUGGCUGCAGCCCAUCGGCCCAGUUGUCAUCACGAGAAAGGCAGAACACAUGGCGGGAAAACUGCCCCUGCACGUGUGCAGAUUAUGUUUACUACUUAGAACACAGCUGUCAGCGCCAUCUUAUAAUGGCAAAUGUGAGGGCGGCUCCCAACAUUUAUCCUAAUGCAAGGGCUCUCGCCCAUACCUGAAAUCAAUUAUACCUGUGCCCUCAUGUGUGCAUGCACUCAAACACCACCCCAAGGGCAAGCAAUGAAGGCUGCCUGGCUCUUCUGAAACAAGCAUGACUGUGGCUUUCCUGGUUCUUGUCCUUUCUGGGAGCCAUUGGCUACUUUUGCUUAAAACUUGUAUUUUUAAUCUUGCAAAACUUGUGGAUUCUAGGGUAUUUGAACACUUUUAAACUAAACUGCCACUACAGGACAUCUAAAGCACCUUUUCCAACUCGUAAGUAAAGUAAGGAGAGAGCCUGUGGUCCCUCUCAGGCGGGAACUAUGACCUUCACCAGCAUAAAAGCAAUUAUAGAAUAUUGAUUAUUAUACUUCUGCUCUACCCCAAAAAAAGAAUGGUUUCUGAGAUCAUUCAGCUGUGGGUGGGAGCUUGUGUCAGGAGAAGAGAGAGACUGGAAGACAGCAAGAUCAAAAUCAAUGUAUGAAAGAUGCCACUUGGCAGAGGAAGACUGGAAGCCGUUCCCCGUCUGGGUUUCAGACAGCAAAUGGAACAUGAUUGAGGCCAAUUGGCAAAGAUGGGAAGCCUGCAUUACUUGGGAUACAUGCAAGGAACAGAGCUUGCAUAAGGCAAGCCCAUGAUAUAUAAACACAGGAUAGGUGUGUAUAAAUACAAUAAAUAUAAAUGUUGUAUGAAAUCGUGUGCUUUAUAGUCAGUGCAUUGUGGGCUUUAACCUCAUUUCAGCAGCCAACUCCCAAUCCCCAGACU